UUGAGAGAGAGUUCAAGAGUACGUGAAACUGCUCAGAGGCAAACGGGUGGGCCCUCGAAAUCCCGCUGCGGGGGGAUUCAGUCGGAAGGCCAGGUAGCCGAGCGGAGCGACCGACAGGAUCGCUGCGGUGCACCGCACGGCCCGUGCCGCCCGACGCACUUCCUCCCGCACAGAGGACGCCGCAGCCGGUCGGGUAGCAGCGAGAGUCGGCCAUGAGGACCGGCGCCGGCAGGUGACGGGAGGCGCGUCUAGCACGUCGCUCUCCCGUUGUUAGCCAGUCGGUCCGAGGCGCGACACCCGACCGAGGAGAAGGAGCGCCUCACGGUGCUCCGGCCGCGCACUCGCCAGUCGAGCGGAGCGGCGGGACAGGGAGGAUCCAACUCGGACGGAACCACCCUCGGGCGGUGGCUCGUCCUUGAGUCUCCCCGGUGGUCCUGCGCUGACCGCGGCGAGCGCUCACGGCUAGCGGCGAGUAGGUCGGUCACCCACCCGACCCGUCUUGAAACACGGACCAAGGAGUCUAACAUGUGCGCGAGUCGCAGGGUCUUGAACAGGCCCGUGGGCGCAAUGAAAGUGGAGGCGACGCUAGCCCCUCUCCCAG
rnacentral:rRNA from 1 species